rnacentral:rRNA from 1 species
UACAGAGGUCCCAAGCGUUGUUCGGAUUCACUGGGCGUAAAGGGUGCGUAGGUGGUUAGGUAAGUCCGAUGUGAAAUCUCCAGGCUCAACCUGGAAAUGGCAUUGGAUACUAUCUAGCUUGGAGGAGGUGGAGGGGGACUGGAAUUCUCGGUGUAGCAGUGAAAUGCGUAGAUAUCGAAGAGGAACACCAGUGGCGAAGGCGGCUCACUGGACCAUAACUGACGCUGGAUGCACGAAAGCUGGGGGAGCAAACAGG